UGCCUGCUUCUGUGUGAUAUGUUUGAUAUUGGGUUGUUAAAUUAGGAACCAACUAAAUGUCAAACAUAUUCUCAUAGCAGUGAGGA
rfam:Cricetulus griseus cell line CHO-K1, whole genome shotgun sequence.